rnacentral:rRNA from 1 species
GUGCCAGCAGCCGCGGUAAGACGAACCGUCCUAACGUUGUUCGGAUUCACUGGGCUUAAAGGGCGCGUAGGCGGGUGAGCAAGUCCGGGGUGAAAUCUUUCGGCUUAACCGGAAAAUUGCCUUGGAUACUGCUUGUCUAGAGGGAGGUAGGGGUCUGUGGAACUUCCGGUGGAGCGGUGAAAUGCGUUGAUAUCGGAAGGAACGCCGGUGGCGAAAGCGACGGACUGGACCUCUUCUGACGCUGAGGCGCGAAAGCCAGGGUAGCGAACGGGAUUAGAUACCCCGGUAGUCCUGGCCCUAAACGAUGGGUACUAGGUUGUGGACUUAACAUGGGUUCACAGCCGAAGCAAAAGUAGUUAGUACCCCGCCUGGGGAGUAUGGUCGCAAGGCUGAA